rnacentral:rRNA from 1 species
CAGUAGCCGCGGGAAUACAGAGGGUGCAAGCGUUAAUCGGAAUUACUGGGCGUAAAGCGCGCGUAGGUGGUUUGUUAAGUUGGAUGUGAAAUCCCCGGGCUCAACCUGGGAACUGCAUCCAAAACUGGCAAGCUAGAGUAUGGUAGAGGGUGGUGGAAUUUCCUGUGUAGCGGUGAAAUGCGUAGAUAUAGGAAGGAACACCAGUGGCGAAGGCGACCACCUGGACUGAUACUGACACUGAGGUGCGAAAGCGUGGGGAGCAAACAGGAUUAGAUACCCGGGUAGUCCCUGUCUCUUAUAC